CUAAAACCUGAAAUGGGAACAGCAUAGACAUGAUCCCAGGCCCACCCUUAUCCCUCGCCCAGGGCCCUUCCCAGUUACCCAGCCCAAGUUGGGAGGCAGAAGAUCCAUGUCACAGAUGGCCUGCGGCCUCAGGACCACCCAGCAGGCUGGAGCCCCUAUUUGGCAAGUGACCCCAGGAACUGGGACCUGCAGGUGUGGGCGACUCAGGCCACCUUCCCAGGCGUGCUGAGCAAGUGAGUGCAGCGAGAGAACAUUUGCUGCGUUUCCUAGGAGCUGGGCCCUUCAGACAUUCUCCAUAGCCCUCACUACGAAAGCCUGUCCCACAGGCGGUGGAGGCUCAAGGUGAUACCUAUUCAUGAUCCCUCACCUCUGCACAGUGCUUUACAGUUUAUAAUGUUUCUUCAUCCACAGAGUACCUGAUUUUCAUAACAACCCUGUGAGGCUCUCUGUCCCGCUGACGGUGGACCAUGGCCCCUGCACCAUUGGCCAUGGGGGAGCCAUCACCCCGCCAGGACCUCACCUCCUGCAGAAGGCACAGAAAGAGUUAGGAGCAUGAGCAGGUCAGGCGGGAAUCCGGGGACCUGUGCACCGGAGGCUGGAGUCGAGAGAGUGCAGGGUGGGAGGCAGCUGAGAGGUUAGGAGCAGCAGGGCCACCGGGUACAGCGGGAGGAGCCUGUUAGUGCCCUGAAGCACCUCCACCAGCAGCAGCAGCAGCACCGGCAGCCCAGCGGGCUCGGCCCACUACCUUCUCGUGCUCCUGCCGGCUCAGGCGCAGAGCCAGCUGCAGCUGCAGGUCCUCGUCCCUGUGGGAGGCUGGGGGGACAGGCUGCGGAGGAAGAGAGGGGUAAACUUGGCCCUGUACCCCCACCUUGGGACCAGAAGGGCAGUAUAGGCCUGCCUGGGUCAUGGGGAUGGAGACACUAAUGCCCACCCUCAGUGUGCAUGGGCCAUUUGCCCCUUAGUCGGCAGGGUGGGCGUGGCCUUCUCCCUGCCUGCAUCUGAAAUGCAGUUUAAAGGUCAGGAAGACUGAUCUUUCGCUUCUGAAUCCUCUGAGAGUUCCUCAGGCCCUCCUGUCUGAGGCCCAGCUGCUUCCUGCCUGGUCUUCCUGGAUCCACAGAGGGCCAGCUGCAGCUGCAGUUCCUCUUCCCCUGACGUCUGAGGCCGGGCCUGCUCCAGGUCGGAGGUAUAGCGGGGUGACGAAGAGGAGGCUGCAAUGACCAUCAUGUCUCUGUGACCACACGAUUACCCAUCGGCUCCCACACCCCUCUGCCUGCCAGGAAGCUGAGGCUCAAAGAAGAGAACUGAGAGGAGGGGAACAACGGCCGUUGAGGCCCCCGUGGGCCAAGCAGUGUGCCAGGCACUCUAUCAAACAAUGGAGGUAGGUGAGCUUAUCCCCACUGUACAGAUGAGGAAACUGAGGUUCAGAGAACUGGUUGCCCAGGUCACACAGCUUGGAGGAAGCAGAAUAUAGAAUGCUAUCUGACUCCAAACCCAUGCUUCCACUAUCGCGCCAUCCUAUCAGGCAGCUAACGAAUGAUAAUGAAUCUAUAACAACAUUAUUAUCUGA